UGGGGAAUUUUGGGCAAUGGGCGCAAGCCUGACCCAGCAACGCCGCGUGCAGGAUGAAGGCCCUCGGGUCGUAAACUGCUGUCAGAGGGGAAGAACGGCAUCAGGGGAAAUACGCCUGGUGUUUGACGGUACCCUCAGAGGAAGCGCCGGCUAACUCCGUGCCAGCAGCCGCGGUAAUACGGAGGGCGCAAGCGUUGUUCGGAAUUACUGGGCGUAAAGCGCGUGUAGGCGGUUCGGUAAGUCGGAUGUGAAAUCCCCGGGCUCAACCCGGGAACUGCAUCCGAAACUGCCGAGCUAGAGUCCCGGAGAGGAAGGCAGAAUUCCCAAUGUAGGGGUGAAAUCCGUAGAUAUUGGGAGGAAUACCAGAGGCGAAGGCGGCCUUCUGGACGGUGACUGACGCUGAGACGCGAAAGCGUGGGGAGCAAACAGGAUUAGAUACCCCCGUAGUCC
rnacentral:rRNA from 1 species